ACCCGGAAUCCGCCAGACCCGCGGCAGAGACGGGGGACCCAGAGUCUCCGGGCCUAUUUCUCCACAGGCCCUUGGGGUGAAGCCGCCAAGCGCGGCCGGACGGCCUCGUCCGAACCCGACAGCUAACCUCGAAGGCGUUGAGAGGCAAUCA
rnacentral:sRNA from 2 species